rnacentral:rRNA from 1 species
GACGAACGCUGGCGGCGUGCUUAACACAUGCAAGUCGAACGAUGAAGCCGGAGCUUGCUCUGGUGAAUUAGUGGCGAACGGGUGAGUAACACGUGAGUAACCUGCCCUUGACUCUGGGAUAACUGCGGGAAACUGUAGCUAAUACCGGAUACGACCCUCGGAGGCAUCUCCUGGGGGUGGAAAGAAUUUCGGUCAAGGAUGGACUCGCGGCCUAUCAGCUAGUUGGUGAGGUAAAGGCUCACCAAGGCGACGACGGGUAGCCGGCCUGAGAGGGUAACCGGCCACACUGGGACUGAGACACGGCCCAGACUCCUACGGGAGGCAGCAGUGGGGAAUAUUGCACAAUGGGCGCAAGCCUGAUGCAGCGACGCCGCGUGAGGGAUGACGGCCUUCGGGUUGUGAACCUCUUUUAGUAGGGAAGAAGCGAAAGUGACGGUACCUGCAGAAAAAGCACCGGCUAACUACGUGCCAGCCGCCGCCGUAA